rnacentral:tRNA from 1 species
GCGCAUGUGGCGUAAUUGGUAGCCGCGUUAGACUUAGGAUCUAAUGUCUCCGGACGUAUGGGUUCGAGUCCCAUCUUGCGCA